GAUCUUGCAAUGGGCGAAAGCCUGAUGGAGCAACGCCGCGUGUGUGAUGAAGGCUUUCGGGUCGUAAAGCACUGUUGUAUGGGAAGAAAAGUUAAGGUAGGGAAUGACCUUAGCCUGACGGUACCAUACCAGAAAGGGACGGCUAAAUACGUGCCAGCAGCCGCGGUAAUACGUAUGUCCCGAGCGUUAUCCGGAUUUAUUGGGCGUAAAGCGAGCGCAGACGGUUGGUUAAGUCUGAUGUGAAAGCCCGGAGCUCAACUCCGGAAAGGCAUUGGAAACUGGUUAACUUGAGUGCAGUAGAGGUAAGUGGAACUCCAUGUGUAGCGGUGGAAUGCGUAGAUAUAUGGAAGAACACCAGCGGCGAAGGCGGCUUACUGGACUGUAACUGACGUUGAGGCUCGAAAGUGUGG
rnacentral:rRNA from 1 species